AGAGCUCAUCCUUUCGCAGUCUUCCUAACCGUAUAUCUCCAAAACAAACAAACUUACUUUUCCGAAAUUGCAGAAACCAUUAACCCUUGAUUCUUUUGCCAUGCGGAUUCCUAUUGUUUAUUGAUAUUCUUCUAAAAAAAUUGCAACGCAUUGAUUUUCUGAACAAAAUCUUUGCAAAUAACGUUUAAAGCUUUAUCCUUUUUAUGUCUCCUAUAUAUUUGCAUCUACGAAAUCUUUGCGAUGAAUCUACGAAAUCUCUGCUAAUUACCAGCUCCAACAAUGGCUAAUUCCUUCAUCAUUCUUGCUGAUUUGAAAGCCGGUCGCUGUUCGACCAGAGCCGAGGAGGUUUUGAGAGUCUAGGAUUGUGUCUCAAGAUGUGAAUGCUCUCGCUCUCCAAUCCUACAGCGGCAAGGACAAAUCUCUAGGCGUUCUUGCUCCAAUUUCGUGAGACUAUAUAACCGAGAUGAUGUUGAUUUGUUUUGAAUCGAUGAUGUUGCGGCCAAAUUAGGAGUUGAACGUUGGCGUAUAUAUGAUGUGGUCGAUAUAUUGGAGAACAUUGGGGUUUUGUCUAGAAAAAUGGAAGAAUCUUCACUCUUGGAAAGGUUUUGUUCAGAUUCUUCGCUUUUUGCAUCGACUCAAGGAAGAAGGUUUGAGAAAGGGUUUUGGUAUCUCGAGUAUCUGCAGCAUGUUUUUGAAUCUAGGGGUUUUCAAUUUUCAGACAGUGAUCAUGCGGUUGGAGACUCGGUAGAGAGCUGCAAAGAUGAGUCUAAGCCUCAGAAAUGUCCUAAAUAGAAGUGGGAAGAUGUAGAGCUAAAGGUCCCGAAAACUUAGAAGAACAAUAACAAUGUGUGCGAGUUGUUCUAUGAUACAAAAACGGUGACAAAUGGGCUAAAGAGAUUGAUGGAAACCAUUCUUCUGGAGAUUCUAAUGAGGCUGGAACGAAGCUAGGAGUUCAUAACAUCAAUGCUAACAGUGGUUUUCCUGAGACAGUUGAUCUGGUGUUUUAUAU